AGGUUGGGGAAAAGGCCAUCGAUUGUGGUGCUUCUAAUGUAUCCAACAUUGAGGAGUUGAGAUUUAUUAAAGAACUGCAUCUCAAGACUGUUGAUGAGCUUGGAGUGGAUAGGUCCACCAUUCCUCGUGAGGCUUUAUUGUUUGUCUAGAUCUAGUUUUUUAUUAUUAAUCAAGUGAACCUGAAAGUGUAUAUACCAUUUGGUCCCUAAUUCGGUUGAAUUAGAUAUGGUAUUUGAUUAUGGUGAAAAUUUCAGUACCUUUUUUUUUUCUCAGGCAUAAUGAUCUUAGUUUGUCACUACUGUUUCAUCGUGGAUUAUGCCUUCCUAUUGAAAUGAAAUGCU